AACACUGUUAACCUGCGGUACCUGCGGAAGGAUCAUUAAAAAAAUGAUGAAUGUCGGGGGGGCGUUUGUUCCCCCGUGUAUUCAACCAACCCGCUCUUGUAUUUGGAUCAACCAAAAAUCUAAAAAGCAAAAAUUAUAAUUAAUAAAAUAAACUUUCAACAAUGGAUCU
rnacentral:misc_RNA from 1 species